AGUGAACGCUGGCGGUAGGCCUAACACAUGCAAGUCGAACGGCAGCACAGUAAGAGCUUGCUCUUACGGGUGGCGAGUGGCGGACGGGUGAGGAAUACAUCGGAAUCUACUUUUUCGUGGGGGAUAACGUAGGGAAACUUACGCUAAUACCGCAUACGACCUACGGGUGAAAGCAGGGGAUCUUCGGACCUUGCGCGAUUGAAUGAGCCGAUGUCGGAUUAGCUAGUUGGCGGGGUAAAGGCCCACCAAGGCGACGAUCCGUAGCUGGUCUGAGAGGAUGAGCAGCCACACUGAAACUGAGACGCGGUCCAGACUCCUACGGGAGGCAGCAGUGGGGAAUAGUGGACGAUGGGCGCAAGCCUGAUCCAGCCAUACAGCGUGGGUGAAGAAGGCCUUCGGGUUGUAAAGCCCUUUUGUUGGGAAAGAAAAGCAGCAGGUUAAUACCCCGCUGUUCUGACGGUACCCAAAGAAUAAGCACCGGCUAACUUCGUG
rnacentral:rRNA from 1 species